ensembl:lncRNA
AAGCGCUGAAAGAAAAUCGUACUGUGACUGAUCUAAGAAUGGCCAUAAAUAAAAUUGGAGAUGUUGGAGCUGGUUACCUUGCAGAAUUGUUGAGGACGAAUCGCACACUGACAGAUAUCAGGCUUCGUGACAACCUAGUGACAGACAAAGGAGCAGAAGUCCUCAUGGCUGCCCUGAAAGAGAACACUACAUUAGAGUAUCUGUGGUUGUUUGACAACAAGUUUACCAAAGAUGGCGUCAAGAAACUCAAAGAAUUUGCAAAGACCAGACCAGACCUUGACAUUAAAGCUUGCAUCUGACACCACAACCAAUAAACCAGUGGAGUAGCAACUGGUUCAUGACAAACAUUUUCAUUCACACAUUUUAUUCAUACAUUAUUUUACAUAUGGUACAAUUACUCUGAUAUAUUACUUUUAAUACAUAUUAGACUGUUAAAUGAAUAGUUUACCUAAAAAUGAAAAAUUGCUGAAAAUGUACUCACCCUCAGGCCAUCCCAGAUGUAGCUUGUUUCUUCAUUUGAACAGAUUUGGAGAAAUUUAGCAUUACAUUAUUUGCUCACCAACAGAUCCUCUGCAGUGAAUGGGUGCCGUCAGAAUGUGGUAAAGAAAGUGAUUAAAACAUCACAAUAAUCCACAAGUAAUCCAAACAACUCCAAUCCAUCAAUUAACAUCUUCUGAAGCAAAAAACAGCAUGCUUGUAAGAAACAAAUCCAUCAUUACGGUGUUUUCACUAUAAACAAUUAUUCCUUUAACUACUCAGGCUACUACUGCUAAACUGGACGUUUAAGGAUGCUAUAUUUGUACAUUAAUAAGCAGCAGACCUAUUUUAGGAUUUAUAGAGUUUUUUUUAAACACUGAAUUGCAUUUAUUUAUUUUGUGCAAUAACGUUUGUAUUAUCAAAUCUUUUACAGCUUUCAGCUAACACCCACACAAUCAGAUUUGACUUAAGAUUUAAGUAUAUGAUAGACUUUGAGGGACCUAAAAUGCCUUCACAACACCCAUCUGUUUUUCUCGUACUUCUUUAUAAAUUAUUGUCUUCUUUCUCUUCUCUGCUAUAGUGUCUCAAACCAGUUCGAUGUUUAUUGCCCAUUUUUGUGGGUGCUUUUACAUGCAGAGUUCAGGGCUCCUCUUAGAUGCUUCAUAAACAGAAGUAAAAAUGUAAGUGUAAAAUACACAAAGCCAGAGUAUUCUUUGGUUAGUAAAUGCAUUUAUUUUAAAGAUACUAUGUGAAACCGUUACUAAAAUCACAGUAAUGUAAUGUUAGAAGCACUUUUAAUAGUACAUACUGGUGGAGAUCUCUAAAACCCAACUAGAUAGAUAGAUAUAUAGAUAGAUAGAUAGAUAGAUAGAUAGAUAGAUGAGCUUGACUACUUUUUGUGAAAACUUCUGAACAUGGUUUUCAUUUUUUACUGUUAUGCAUGUCAGAUCAUUUUUGGAAACAUUGCACACCUGUCUUCUUUCUGAAAGUUGCAUAAUAGAGGUUCAUGCAUUGUUAUAUCAUUAAUUGUCAUAACAUCUUGAAAUAUGAAUUGUUAUAUCAAGUAUGAUUGCUUAGCAAUGCUUACAAUGCAAAGUACAAGUGUUGUUAUUCAAUCAUUAAAACAAGAUGUACAAAUAGAUGUUCAAUAAACAUUAUAUGGAUUCUCCAGAUUCCAGUUUGCUUUGGUAAUGGAGUCUGUGGUUUG